CAGCACUGGACACAGACUCUGCACUUUUGACAUUUUCUAGAAAAAAAGGAUUUUAAAUUUCACAUCAAGUUAAUUAAAAGUCAUCUGAUGUUUCCACUGCAGUACUUCAGGGCCUUUCAGUAAUCCUGGAGAAUGACCCAGAGGAAUUUUACAGGAUGUGUUUCGAUGUGGAUGCAGACUUCAGUCAAGCAGUUGUAGACCUGCUCACAGUUCUACCAGAGGACAUGCCCUCAUUGUGGAUGCAAUAAAGGCAAUCAUGGAGGGAAGAAUUGUCAUGGAUGGGUUUGAAAGGCCUGUAUUUUAUUUUUGCUGUUCUGUUUGCAUGCCAUUCUGAAAAUGCUCUAUUGUUUAACAGUGUUCCAGUGGGUCCAGAUAAUGUUAUGACAACAAAGUGUUGUUUAGUCAAGAAGUCUGUAAAGAGUAUUAUAAGAACACAGAUGUUUUAAAAGCUAAUUUUUAUUAUUGUGAUAUUCUUAAAGUUUUUUACAAAAAUAAACUGUUGAGAAUUUCAAACUUGUGUUAAGUUCAUUUCAUGCUGGUUGAACGAAUAAAAAUACGUUCAGUUUACUUAAAGAAAAUGUGGAAACCGAUUGCACAAAAUGUUUUA